rnacentral:rRNA from 1 species
GACGACGCUGGCGGCGUGGAUUAGGCAUGCAAGUCGAACGGUAUCAUCCUUUCGGGGGUGAGAGAGUGGCGAACUGGUGAGUAACACGUAGGUUAUCUACCCUCAAGACGGGGACAACCCAGGGAAACUUGGGCUAAUACCGGAUGUGAGCAACUUUUAGUUGUUUGAAAGGUGGCGUAAGCUGUCGCUUGGGGAUGAGCCUGCGUCCUAUUAGUUAGUUGGUGAGGUAACGGCUCACCUAGGCAAUGACAGGUAGGCGGCCUUAACGGGUGGUCGCCCACACUGGGAUUGAGAUACGGCCCAGACUCCUACGGGAGGCAGCAGUCGAGAAUAGUCUACAAUGGUCGGAAGACUGAUAGUGCGACGCCGCGUGAACGAUGAAUCCCUUCGGGGUGUAAAGUUCUUUUAUAUGUGAGCAGUGCUUCUUAUAUUAACAGUAUGGGGAGAGAGAUAUUAGCAUAUGAAUAAGCAACGGCUAACUCCGUG